UACGUAGGGUGCGAGCGUUGUCCGGAAUUAUUGGGCGUAAAGAGCGCGUAGGCGGUGUGUCACGUCGGCCGUGAAAACCUGCAGCUUAACUGUGGGCGUGCGGUCGAUACGGGCAUCACUGGAGUUCGGCAGGGGAGACUGGAAUUCCUGGUGUAGCGGUGAAAUGCGCAGAUAUCAGGAGGAACACCGGUGGCGAAGGCGGGUCUCUGGGCCGAUACUGACGCUGAGGAGCGAAAGCGUGGGGAGCAAACAGG
rnacentral:rRNA from 1 species